ACACCCCCGAUUUUGAAGUCAACACAGUCGCUACAGUCCCAUUAGUUUUCUUUGUAGCCUCGUUUGAAUGUUGGGGUUACGCACAUUGGUACGGAAUGGGCAUGGAGAAAGUCAAGAGGAAGCAGUGGUGAGGUGGACAUGGUCCAUGCAGUGGAGGACUGCGGUGGCAGGGAUGUUUAUCCGCCAGGCUGCCAAGGUGCAUGGUGUACCUCGGCAGACCCGGGCGGACAGGCUGAGCGGCAGGGUGACCCAUGGUUGUUGCAGUGGACCAGCCACAUCGCUUGCACCAGAGGAUGAAAAGUCUCUGGUGCAGUACUGUAUCUACCAAAAAACAAAACAAACAUUUUCAUUCUGGUUGGAUAAUUUUCUAUUCUAUUGACAUUUUUUGUGACAAGAUAGGGAUGGAGAUCGAGAUUUAAUUGUUUUGUUUGUUUUCAUAUAAAAUGAUUUAUUUGUACAUGUCAAAAAUAUAUAUUUAUUCAACCCAUCUUCCUUUACUUUCCAAGUGCAUCUCUGCAACACAAACUCCAACAUUGUUUUAAUUGUUUUUCAAUGCAAAUGACUGAAAUUAAAGUUUUAUUUUAUGUAAAUUA